UCCCUGUUGCCAGGGCAGUCUAGCUAGAAAAAUUCAACUAACUAUAAGGGUUGCGCUCGUUGAAGGACUUAACCUAACAUCUCACGACACGAGCUGACGACGGCCAUGCAACACCUGUCACUUGGCUUCCGAAGACACUCUCUCCUUUCGGAGAAAUUCCAAGGAUGUCAAGCCUGGGUAAGGUUCUUCGCUUACCAUCGAAUUAAACAACACGCUCCACCGCUUGUGCGGGUCCCCGUCAAUUCCUUUAUGUUUUAGUCUUGCGACCGUACUCCACAGGCGGGAUGCUUAACGCGUUAGCUACGCUACUACCAGGGUCGAUACUGGUAACAGCUAGCAUCCAUAGUUUACGGCGUGGACUAC
rnacentral:misc_RNA from 1 species